GCAUAUCAAUAAGCGGAGGAAAAGAAACCAACAGGGAUUGCCCUAGUAACGGCGAGUGAAGCGGCAACAGCUCAAAUUUGAAAUCUGGCCCCCGGGUCCGAGUUGUAAUUUGUAGAGGAUGCUUUUGGUGCGGUACCUUCCGAGUUCCCUGGAACGGGACGCCAUAGAGGGUGAGAGCCCCGUCUGGUUGGACGCCAAUCCUUUGUAAAGCUCCUUCGACGAGUCGAGUAGUUUGGGAAUGCUGCUCUAAAUGGGAGGUAUAUGUCUUCUAAAGCUAAAUAUUGGCCAGAGACCGAUAGCGCACAAGUAGAGUGAUCGAAAGAUGAAAAGCACUUUGAAAAGAGAGUUAAAAAGUACGUGAAAUUGUUGAAAGGGAAGCGCUCAUGACCAGACUUGGGCCCGGUUGAUCAUCCAGGGUUCUCCCUGGUGCACUCUUCCGGCCCAGGCCAGCAUCAGUUCGCUGUGGGGGAUAAAGGCUUCGGGAAUGUGGCUCCUCCGGGAGUGUUAUAGCCCGCUGCGUAAUACCCUGUGGCGGACUGAGGUUCGCGCAUCUGCAAGGAUGCUGGCGUAAUGGUCAUCAGCGACCCGUCUUGAAACACGGACCAAGGAGUCGUCUUCGUAUGCGAGUGUUCGGGUGUUAAACCCCUACGCGGAAUGAAAGUGAACGCAGGUGAGAGCUUCGGCGCAUCAUCGACCGAUCCUGAUGUUCUCGGAUGGAUUUGAGUAAGAGCAUACGGGGCCGGACCCGAAAGAAGGUGAACUAUGCCUGUAUAGGGUGAAGCCAGAGGAAACUCUGGUGGAGGCUCGCAGCGGUUCUGACGUGCAAAUCGAUCGUCAAAUAUGGGGCAUGGGGGCGAAAGACUAAUCGAACCUUCUAGUAGCUGGUUUCCGCCGAG
rnacentral:rRNA from 1 species